rnacentral:rRNA from 1 species
UCUAAUACCGGAUACGACACCGGGAGGCAUCUCCUCGGUGUGGAAAGCUCCGGCGGUGCAGGAUGGGCCCGCGGCCUAUCAGCUGGUUGGUGAGGUAACGGCUCACCAAGGCGACGACGGG